GCACUAUGCUCUCGUAAGAGCUUGUUCCUGCUCCCUGGAUUAAGAGAGGUCUACCUACUGGGAGUCUUGGAUCCAGAGUGGGUGGACGCCGGCGAGACCCCAACCAAGCUGCCGCAGUUCAUGGGGUCUGCGGUGUUUAUGUGUCUAGUGGAGUGCUUGGGGCCCUCGGAAAACAUUAGGAGCAUCUGUCAAUGGAAGGUACCCAGUCGGGGUGCCAGGCGUUUCUUUACAGUGGUGG